rnacentral:rRNA from 1 species
UCCGCAGGCUGUUUUUUAAGUCAGAGGUGAAAUCCUGCAGCUCAACUGUAGAAUUGCCUUUGAAACUGAAAGACUUGAGUUAUUGUGAAGUGGUUAGAAUGUGUGGUGUAGCGGUGAAAUGCAUAGAUAUCACACAGAAUACCAAUUGCGAAGGCAGAUCACUAACAAUUAACUGACGCUCAGGGACGAAAGCGUGGGUAGCGAACAGGAUUAGAUACCCUGGUAGUCCACGCCGUAAACGAUGGAUACUAGCUGUAUGUCUACCUCAGGUAGAUGUGUGGCCAAGCGAAAGUGAUAAGUAUCCCACCUGGGGAGUACGAUCGCAAGAUUGAAACUCAAAGGAAUUGACGGGGGCCCGCACAAGCGGUGGAGCAUGUGGUUUAAUUCGAUGA